GGAGUGGCGGGGACGCCCCUGCUCUGCCGCUGCGACGGGAGCUCGAGCUCAGGAACCGCCUGGAAUCGACGCCUUUCCCAGGGAAAAGCAAACAGACAGUCUUCACUAAAGUUGCUUGCCUUCGCACAGCGGUCUGUGCCCAGCUUGCCACAGGACUGGGAUCUGCUCCGAAAAAUGCAUACACCCAG